AUUGAACGCUGGCGGCAUGCCUUACACAUGCAAGUCGAACGGUAACAGGUCUUCGGAUGCUGACGAGUGGCGAACGGGUGAGUAAUACAUCGGAACGUGCCUAGUAGUGGGGGAUAACUACUCGAAAGAGUGGCUAAUACCGCAUGAGUUCUACGGAUGAAAGCAGGGGAUCGCAAGACCUUGCGCUUCCAGAGCGGCCGAUGGCAGAUUAGGUAGUUGGUGGGAUAAAAGCUUACCAAGCCGACGAUCUGUAGCUGGUCUGAGAGGACGAUCAGCCACACUGGGACUGAGACACGGCCCAGACUCCUACGGGAGGCAGCAGUGGGGAAUUUUGGACAAUGGGCGCAAGCCUGAUCCAGCAAUGCCGCGUGCAGGAUGAAGGCCUUCGGGUUGUAAACUGCUUUUGUACGGAACGAAAAGCCCUGGGUUAAUACCCUGGGGUCAUGACGGUACCGUAAGAAUAAGCACCGGCUAACUACGUGCCAGCCGCCGCAGUAAAAC
rnacentral:rRNA from 1 species